GGAAGUGAGGCCGAUCUGGCUGCAACAUCUGUCACCCCAUCGAGUGCCAGCGUUGAUCCAGUUGAUCUGGCUGGCUAGGCGAUGUCCCCUUCCUCCCUCACUACUCCAUGGGCAUCCCUCCCGAAGCUAUGCACUUGAUCAAAGAGGACGACCUUCCCCAAUAGAGGAGGACCAUUCUCCCAUCAAGGAUACAUGAGUAGCUGGUGCUCCUCUGCUAGAACCUCCAAACAAACUCUCAAGGAAAUGUUGCACAGGCUGUUGUACAUAUGAAUCUAGAGUUCAGGGACAGGGUCUGGUUGGGAAAUACAAAUUUAUAUCAUUGAGGA
rnacentral:snRNA from 1 species